rnacentral:misc_RNA from 1 species
GAAAUGCGAUACGUAAUGUGAAUUGCAGAAUUCCGUGAAUCAUCAAAUCUUCGAACGCACCUUGCGCUCCUAGGUAUUCCUGGGAGCAUGCCUGUUUCAGUCUCAGUAACACCCUCAAAAACGGUAGUUUUUGGACUUGGGCUCCACUCGAUGAUUCAUUUCAUUGAGAAGCCUUAAAUGCAGUCAACGAUUGGUGUGAUAAACUUUAGCUGUGAGAUAAAAGGCGUUGUCUUGAAUUCGCGGCUAAUUCAUUCCAGUUGUUUCAUGAAAUCAAGGCCGAUCUCAUCGGACUUUGCACCCUUGAGCUGAAAUCAGGCAAGACUACCCGCUGAACUUAA